GACGAACGCUGGCGGCGUGCCUUACCCAUGCAAGUCGCGCGGAAAGGCCCCGCAAGGGUACUCGAGCGGCGUAAGGGAUAGUAACACGUGGGUCACCUACCCCCGGGACUGGGAUAGCUGCGGGAAACUGCAGGUAAUACCGGAUAACGUCUCCGGACCAAAGGUGUGAUUCCGCCCGGGGAGGGGCCCGCGUCCUAUUAGCUAGUUGGCAGGGUAACGGCCUACCAAGGCUAAGAUGGGUAGGGGGUGUGAGAGCAUGACCCCCAUCACUGGGACUGAGACACUGCCCAGACACCUACGGGUGGCUGCAGUCGAGAAUCUUCGGCAAUGGGCGCAAGCCUGACCGAGCGACGCCGCGUGCGGGAUGAAGGCCCUCGGGUUGUAAACCGCUGUCAGAGGGAUGGAAAUGCCAAGGGGUUCUCCCCUUGGUUUGACUGACCCUCAGAGGAAGUACGGGCUAAGUUCGUGCCAGCAGCCGCCGUAAAAC
rnacentral:rRNA from 1 species